rnacentral:rRNA from 1 species
UACGAAGGGGGCUAGCGUUGUUCGGAAUUACUGGGCGUAAAGCGUAUGCAGGCGGAUCGUUAAGUCGGGGGUGAAAUCCCGAGGCUCAACCUCGGAACUGCCUUCGAUACUGGCAAUCUUGAGUCCGGGAGAGGUGAGUGGAACUCCGAGUGUAGAGGUGAAAUUCGUAGAUAUUCGGAAGAACACCAGUGGCGAAGGCGGCCUUCUGGACAGUGACUGACGCUGAGACGCGAAAGCGUGGGGAGCAAACAGG